rnacentral:rRNA from 1 species
AGUGAACGCUGGCGGUAGGCCUAACACAUGCAAGUCGAACGGCAGCACAGGAGAGCUUGCUCUCUGGGUGGCGAGUGGCGGACGGGUGAGGAAUACAUCGGAAUCUACUUUUUCGUGGGGGAUAACGUAGGGAAACUUACGCUAAUACCGCAUACGACCUACGGGUGAAAGCAGGGGAUCUUCGGACCUUGCGCGAUUGAAUGAGCCGAUGUCGGAUUAGCUAGUUGGCGGGGUAAAGGCCCACCAAGGCGACGAUCCGUAGCUGGUCUGAGCGGAUGGUCAGCCACACUGGAACUGAGACACGGUCCAGACUCCGACGGGAGGCAGCAGUGGGGAAUAUUGGACAAUGGGCGCAAGCCUGAUCCAGCCAUACCGCGUGGGUGAAGAAGGCCUUCGGGUUGUAAAGCCCUUUUGUUGGGAAAGAAAUCCAGCUGGUUAAUACCCGGUUGGGAUGACGGUACCCAAAGAAUAAGCACCGGCUAACUUCGUGCCAGCAGCCGCCGCGG